CAUGCAAGUCGAGCGGUAGCACAGAGAGCUUGCUCUCGGGUGACGAGCGGCGGACGGGUGAGUAAUGUCUGGGAAACUGCCUGAUGGAGGGGGAUAACUACUGGAAACGGUAGCUAAUACCGCAUAAUGUCGCAAGACCAAAGUGGGGGACCUUCGGGCCUCAUGCCAUCAGAUGUGCCCAGAUGGGAUUAGCUUGUAGGUGGGGUAACGGCUCACCUAGGCGACGAUCCCUAGCUGGUCUGAGAGGAUGACCAG
rnacentral:rRNA from 1 species